AUUUGAAAUCUGGCCUCGGCCCGAGUUGUAAUUUGUAGAGGAAGCUUUUGGCACGGCACCUGCUGAGUCCCCUGGAACGGGGCGCCAUAGAGGGUGAGAGCCCCGUAUAGCAGGACGCCUAGCCUCUGUAAAGCUCCUUCGACGAGUCGAGUAGUUUGGGAAUGCUGCUCAAAAUGGGAGGUAAAUUUCUUCUAAAGCUAAAUACCGGCCAGAGACCGAUAGCGCACAAGUAGAGUGAUCGAAAGAUGAAAAGCACUUUGAAAAGAGGGUUAAAUAGCACGUGAAAUUGUUGAAAGGGAAGCGCUUGUGACCAGACUCGCGCCGGGCUGAUCAUCCGAGCUUCUGCUCGGUGCACUCUGCCCGGCUCGGGCCAGCAUCGGUUCUUGCGGGGGGAUAAAGGCCCUGGGAACGUAGCUCCUCCGGGAGUGUUAUAGCCCGGGGUGUAAUGCCCUCGCGGGGACCGAGGACCGCGCUUCGGCAAGGAUGCUGGCG
rnacentral:rRNA from 1 species